UGAACUCUGCCUGUAGCCAGGAAAUAAGUUU
rnacentral:piRNA from 1 species